UGAGAAACGGGAAGAGGGAAGGGGCAGAAAAUUUUCUGGAACCAGGGGGCUGCACGAUGCAAAAAUUCACUGGCGAUCUACCAACAAGGUUGCCAUCUGUUGCUCUGUCCUCCUCGCCUUUCUUUCACUCAUCUUUCAUCUCCCUUGAUUGCUGCCUCUUCCUCCUUUCUGCAUCAUCAACUCGUCUCCUUCAUUUUCUGUUUUGUAUCUCAUGGUGGUGCAUGCUAUCCGCGUAGUUUAAGCAAGAAAUUGGGACCACGAGGAAUUGGAAAUACGGUUUAAUGGAAGAUGGUGGUGGGGGUGUCCGAUUGAAGUAGUAGUACCGUUAGCUCUUGGUGUGCUAUGGUAAUAUCGAGCUUGCUUGUUAUUCGUGGUUUUGGCUACACUUGUCAUUCGUGGGCAUUGUUCCUGCGCUUGUUAUUCGUGGCUUCGGCAGCACUUGUAUUCGUGGCUUCAGCUGCGCUUGUAUUGGUGCGCCAUGGUUAAUAUCGAGCUUGCUUGAUACUUGUGGGCAUUGUUCCCACACUUGUUUCAUAGCUUUAGCUAUGCUUGUACUCAUGGUUUUAGCCACGCUUGUUGUUUACUUACUCUCGUGAAUUGUGUAUCCACGCUUGUUCGUUCCAUUGAAGUCUUCCAUUGAAAAAUAUCACAAAUGUUGUUAAAGUGCCUUGUAAAUUUUCCAUAUUAAAAAUGUUUUAUAAUUAUAUAUAUUUCAUGUUUUAAUAUUUUUUAAAAAAAGAAAUCAUGAAUCCGUCAGUUAUCUUGUUGUAUUUGUACAAGUUAUUAUUUUAAGAUUUGUUUUAUCUUUUUCUUAUUAACAGAGGGCUAUUCAUGAGUAAAAUUUAUUUUGUCCUUGGAUAGCACUGCUAACCUUGCAUCUUCAACUGAAUAGGGGGGAAAAAGUUCUCAUUACUGAUCAAAGCUUAAAACAACUGCUAAUUGAUGUAAAACUAAGUUACAUUUAUGUUAUUGUUUAUUUAUGGGUUUUAGAUCCUUCACAUAAUCUAAGUAUAUGAAUAUAUGUUCGUAUUGAUGUUGAGAGGAGCUCCUUAUUUUGUGUUGUGCCUGCGAGUUAUUUGCGAAGUUCUACUAAUGGCCUUAUAUUUUGAUUACAAGAGAUUUAUUCUAUAUGAAUGGUAUUCUAAUUAUUAUGGCAAGUGUUUAUUCAUAUGUUUUAAGGCUUUAGGAAUGAGUUUUCUCAUAUUCUAUGCUGGUCACUCCUAAAUUUUUGGGGUGUGACAACCAACCUUAACAAUUGUAAGCAUAAGGAAAUGAAAGAAAUUGAAAAAAGCAUGCGUACGUGUUCUUGUUCUUGCAAGUAAUUGAAAGAUAAAUCUGAAGGCUGAGAUGAAAGAUGUAGUCGCUUCAGCUCUACCAUUUGUUGAGCAGUCUCAGAGGCCAAGUCUUGUUGAUUCAUGCCAUUAGGCAUCGGCUCCCAGUUGAUCUCAGUAUGAAUUGCUUCUGCCAUCUAAACUCUAAAGAAGGGGGAAAAAAGUUUAUUUGCUCUGCUCAGCACUCCACGCCACACUCGUUGAAGAAGGCUUAGGUCUUGUAUGUAUUAGUAGUCAAGGGUAUAAAGGAAUCCAUAAAUAAUUAGAAUGUUGGGGAACACUGUGUGCCAGGACGAGCGAUAAAACUAGUGGCACCUUCGCAUAAUUCUAUGGGGGUCAUACAUUUAAAUCCAACAUAAAUAUACCUACCCUGCAAUAUUUUACUGCUUAUGUCACCAAAAAUAAUGAAUGAUUUAAUAGUAAAGAAGGUGCGUGCUGUGGCUUACAUUAUUUGAUGUUCAAGGCAUGGAUAAAAUUUAAAAUUUUCUAAUUGCUUAAUGAACAUUGGAAUUCGUCAAA